rnacentral:rRNA from 1 species
UACGGAGGGUGCAAGCGUUAUCCGGAUUCACUGGGCUUAAAGGGUCCGUAGGCGGCGAAGAAAGUUGGGUGUGAAAUACCUCAGCUCAACUGAGGAAUUGCGCUCAAAACUACUUUGCUCGAGAAAGACAGAGGUGAGCGGAACUGAUGGUGGAGCGGUGAAAUGCAUUGAUAUCAUCAGGAACACCGGUGGCGAAAGCGGCUCACUGGAUCUUUUCUGACGCUGAUGGACGAAAGCUAGGGGAGCGAACGGG